rnacentral:lncRNA from 1 species
UCAAUUAGGUCGGAGUGGGUAGAAACCAGCCAUCCCUGCCUGAGGGCCUGGGUAUCUUCCUCAAAAGGAGGAGUCCAUGGUGGAGAGGUUUGCUGUUGGACUCACCUGGCUGAGGCCUCUCCUCAGGACACUUACUCUUCCCACGGCCUUUUCUAAGGCACUGAAGAGAACACUGGUCAGGCUGGAGGAACGCUGGCUUCCCCACUCCCUCUAGUGUCUUGGUACUUUGGGAGAUUGUCACAGGGACAAGAGGAAGGUGGCCGGGCUGGUGGCCUGACUCAAAUGCAGCUUUCCUAAAUUGGGAACAGCUGGGCCUUAGUGCAAGCUAGUAUAAGAGUCGCCGGCUCUCCUCAGAAGUAGGAAGUGCCUGUUCAUUGGAGCCUGAGUGUGGUGGCUCUUAAAGCAAAGGUGCCCGUCCUCAGCCACGGAAGAAGGGACAAUACCAUCCUCUGUGGGAAGGAGAACCAGCUUCCUUGUGGUGACUACACAGCAGACCAGAAGGCCACCGUCUACGAUUCAUAUCAGCACACACAGUCUAUCCUAAGAGUCCAUGUUGAUCUUGGAAGUAGAGAGGUUUAAAAGAAGUUCCCACAGAAACCAAGAGCCUUACCAUCUCCUUUAGCUCCGAAGGCUGGCGGACAAUGGAUAUCAUAGAGACAGCAAAACUUGAAGGUCAUUUGGAAAGUCAAACCAACAACUCUACCAACACUUACACAAGCCCCACUGA